ensembl:lncRNA
GGUGACUUCUGAAGCUGAACGUUUACUGGUUACCCAACUUGCGUACACGCUGUCGACGUCGCUUGAAUAAGACGUCAUACAAGAAUUGUCAUAUUAGCAAGGCGUAUGGGUUGGGUGAGUCUCUUGGCGUCCUGGGUAGCUUGUGCCUGGUGGUAGUCGUAGUGCUGUUCCUAAUGCAGAGAUGGCGAAAAUGCAUUUGAUUUUAUCCACAUCUCUCUGUAUUGUUUAUGGGGUUAGUGUUGCCUUUACACACGACGCUUGGCGUGUAGGAACUUGAUCGCAGUAACGACGUUUGGUUUUGAAGAUCUAGAAGUUAGUUCAACACGUGGUACGGUCGCAUGUAUGCUGCAUCAAUUGAGUCGAUGUCCUGCACGAGGUUAAGAGCGCUGCACCAAAGCCAGGCUAUGCGCGUGAAUUGUCACAACAUAUAUGGCAUCACAGGCCAUAAGCAUGAAUCCGACAAACAUACUUGGAGCCAAUGCUACUUGCUGGCCAUAAGCAUGAAUCCGACAAACAUACUUGCAGCCAAUGCUACUGGCUGGCCAUAAGCAUGAAUCCAACAAACAUACUUGCAGCCAAUGCUACUGGCUGGCCAUAAGCAUGAAUCCGACAAACACUUGCAGCCAAUGCUACUUGCUG